AUAUAAAUUGAAUGCUGAUGGAU
rnacentral:piRNA from 1 species